CCGUGACUGUGGAGUGACGCCUCCUGUGCAG
rnacentral:piRNA from 1 species